rnacentral:rRNA from 1 species
UACGGAGGGAGCUAGCGUUGUUCGGAAUUACUGGGCGUAAAGCGCACGUAGGCGGCUUUGUAAGUUAGAGGUGAAAGCCCGGGGCUCAACCCCGGAAUUGCCUUUAAGACUGCAUCGCUUGAAUCCGGGAGAGGUGAGUGGAAUUCCGAGUGUAGAGGUGAAAUUCGUAGAUAUUCGGAAGAACACCGGUGGCGAAGGCGGCUCACUGGCUCAUUACUGACGCUCAGGCGCGACAGCGUGGGGAUCAAACAGG